AUUGAACGCUGGCGGCAUGCCUUACACAUGCAAGUCGAACGGUAACAGGUCUUCGGAUGCUGACGAGUGGCGAACGGGUGAGUAAUACAUCGGAACGUGCCUAGUAGUGGGGGAUAACUACUCGAAAGAGUGGCUAAUACCGCAUGAGAUCUACGGAUGAAAGCAGGGGAUCGCAAGACCUUGUGCUACUAGAGCGGCCGAUGGCAGCUUAGGUAGUUGGUGGGAUAAAAGCUGACCAAGCCGACGAUCUGUAGCUGGUCUGAGAGGACGAUCAGCCACACUGGGACUGAGACACGGCCCAGACCCGUACGGGAGGCAGCAGUGGGGAAUUUUGGACAAUGGGCGCAAGCCUGAUACAGAAAUGCCGCGUGCAGGAUGAAGGCCUUCGGGUUGUAAACUGCUUUUGUACGGAACGAAAAGCCCUGGGUUAAUAACCUGGGGUCAUGACGGUACCGUAAGAAUAAGCACCGGCUAACUACGUGCCAGCAGCCGCCGUAA
rnacentral:rRNA from 1 species